GCGCGACUUCCCUGGCCCUCCCCCUGCGGACCAGUGAACCUCGCCCGAGGGCUCAAUAAAGAAGAUUUUUGCCCUCUUUUUCUCACCUCUCAGCCUUAUUGAUCCAUGGUGCCCUUCCAUUGCCUUUCAUUGGUGCCGAAACCCGGGAGGGGACACCUCCUAAGCCCCCCCAGAGGCUCAGGGGGACUCCCCUCCUGGUCGGAUCAGUCCUCUCCCUCAGUCAGGUCAGGCUUCUCCUCCACGGCCAUCUGUCCAUUUCGUCCGGUUACUUGCUGCCAGGUCGCAGUUGCUGCAGCUACUCCAGUCCAAUUCGGCCGACGCUAGUUGCCUGGCUGCAAUAUACCUUGGACAACCAAUCUCGCUGGCCCCCCAAAGGCACACUCGACUUCAAUAUCCUAAACGACCUUACCAAUUUUUGUCAGAGGCGAGGCAAAUAGUCAAAAAUCAAAUUUGUUCAAAGGUUCUGGGACCUCCGCUCUCGUCGGACCGCUGCCGCCAAGUGUUUUCGCUGGCACAAGUCCCUGUGGCUAGCCUUCCCCUUGAAGUCUGGCCAGCCUCUCUUGCCGUUAAUCCUGUCCGGGGCCCCCAUCUUAGUCUCUCUGCCGCCAUCUCCUUCUGCACUGCCGCCAUCUUACUACCUGCUUCCUCACUGCCGCCAUCUUACUUCCUUUUUUCUCUGCUGCCAUUUUAGUUCUUCUGCCACCAUUCGGCUGCCAUUUUAAUUCCCAUUAGUUCCCAUUUGUUCUUUUAACCCUGCCCAGCUAACUCCUUGGCUUCCAUCUUACCCGCAUUCUUAUUUCCACCUGCCUAUAGUGCCAUACCAGUCCACUGCAUCUACAACUCCUAACACAUUCGCUGCGGGCAGUGAUAUCCACUAAUCCUGGAUGAGGCAGCGGAGGGCCCCCAAACCCCUAUCCAGGACUUAGUAAAGCUGGCGUUCAAAGUUUUUAAUUCCUGAGAGGAGGCGGCUGAGGUACAACGACAGGCAAGCCUGAAACAAAAAGUUCAGCUCCAAACCCAAGCCCUGGCAGCUGCCCUGCAACCGGCAUUCCCUAAGAGCCGCGGCAGGAGAGGUAGAGGUACAAUCUCCCGGGCCCCGUCUGGCGUCUGCUUCAAGUGAGGCAACUCAGGACACUGGGCCAGCCGGUGCCCUAGCCAACAGCAACCGUCCUGCCCGCCUUGCAACUGUUUCAAGUGUGGCAAUCCAGGUCAUUGGGCAAAACAGUGCCCAAACCCCAAGCCGCCAACACACCCGUGCCCUAACUGCCAACAAAUGGAGCACUGGAGGUCAGACUGCCCCAGCCUCGGAGCGGCCGCUGUGGCUCCACAUGGCGACCCCUCCCUGGAUGGCGAAGGUGCCCUCUAGCUCCUCCAACUGGAUGACGACUGAAGAGGCCCAGGCUCGGGAACCCCUCUCACCCUUGCCGAGCCCAGGGUAAUGCUUCAGGUAGCGGGAAAAUGGGAUGUCAUCAAAGCCCUUUGAGAAAAGGAGGGAUGUGAUCAGAUUUGUAAUUUUCAAAGAUUUCCUGAGGUGCUGUGAAUUUUACAGAUCAACUGAGAUGCAAAACCCAUGUUCACAUCAUGAGUGAGUCUUCUAACUCGGACAAUGCAAUCAACAAA
ensembl:lncRNA LINC01287 long intergenic non-protein coding RNA 1287